CCUACGGGAGGCAGCAGUAGGGAAUCUUCCGCAAUGGACGAAAGUCUGACGGAGCAACGCCGCGUGAGUGAUGAAGGUUUUCGGAUCGUAAAACUCUGCUGUUAGGGAAGAACAAGCGCCGUUCGAAAGGGCGGCACCUUGACGGUACCUCACCAGAAAGCCACGGCUAACUACGUGCCAGCAGCCGCGGUAAU
rnacentral:rRNA from 1 species